GAGGGUAUAGCUCAGUGGUAGAGUGCCUGCCUAGCAUGCACAAUGUCUUGGGUUCAAUCCUCAGUACCUCCA
rfam:Camelus ferus unplaced genomic scaffold scaffold1652, whole genome shotgun sequence.